rnacentral:rRNA from 1 species
CCUACGGGAGACAGCAGUGGGGAAUAUUGCGCAAUGGGCGAAAGCCUGACGCAGCGACGCCGCGUGAGGGAUGAAGGUCUUCGGAUCGUAAAGCUCUGUCCUCAAGGAAGAUAAUGACGGUACUUGAGAAGGAAGCCCCGGCUAACUACGUGCCAGGAGCCGCGGUAAUACGUAGGGGGCUAGCGUUAUCCGGAAUUACUGGGCGUAAAGGGUGCGUAGGUGGUUUCUUAAUGCAGAGGUGAAAGGCUACGGCUCAACCGUAGUAAGCCUUUGAAACUGGGGAACUUGAGUGCAGGAGAGGAGAGUGGAAUUCCGAGUGUAGCGGUGAAAUGCGUAGAUAUUAGGAGGAACACCAGUUGCGAAGGCGGCUCUCUGGACUGUAACUGACACUGAGGCACGAAAGCGUGGGGAGCAAACAGGAUUAGAUACCCCUGUAGUC